AUGACCGCACAGACCACGGACACUACCUGCCCCUGUCGGGAGAGGAGCGGGAGCUGGGACACAGGAAGAACGGACGCUCGGGGACGUGGUGUCUUCUCCGUGGGGUCUCUUCUGUGGCACCACACGACCUCCCAAGACUUGGACAUCAGCCCCCAAGGCUCUCUCUUUUCCCAGAAAGCUUUGGGCGUGUACCUUAGAAACCGACAGCUUGCAGCCCGAGUGUCCAACAAAGCCUGUGCCUCUGUGGAGAAGCAAAGCCAACCGCAUAAAAUAAAAGACAAAAGGCAGAAAUGGAGAUCUCUGCUGAACUCAGUUGGGGCUGCGAAGCUCUUUCUCACUCUCCUCGGUCAGCCUGGGAAGUGGCACGUUUCUUGGGAGAGACAAGCCUGUCCUUCUCUCCUGCUCAGCCGGGGAAGUCUGUUUGGAAAACUAACUUGUAUCACGGGCAGGACAGCGCCACCUCGUUAGCUCCAGGAGGUUCAACUCCCACUCGGGUUCAUUUGCGUCCCAGCCCCGGGAUGCCCCUGGGGGUUCAGGCCGCCUCCCAGGGCCGCAGCUCAGGCAGGCAGGUCUCCCUCACGCCCUUCCCUUCUCCUGCCUCCGCGGACGGCAACCGCAUGCUUCGCUGAGCCUGAGAGAGCCCCGGGUGUGGCCGCAUCCGUGAGCAGCCCCCUUUCUCUGAGAACAGCGCCUGCGCUCCCACCCUGCUGCCUCUUCACAGGAGUGCGGCGCUCCGGGCUGUUUCUCCACUCUCGCCCUCCACCUCCUUUCUGGAGAAUUCCCUACCCGCCUUGAUUCACUUGAUUCAGCCGAGCCCCGGGCUACUCGCUCGGCUUUCGACUGGGCCGUCCCAGCCAGCUGGGUUUUGUGUGAACACAGCAGGAACUGCUCGGAGAUGCGAUAUUUCUAAACUGGCUGAUCUAGGGUGCUAAGCCCAACUCCUGGCUUUAUAUUUCUUUUUCUUCCAUCAAUACGGGUGGCCAGCAAGAAGAGAGCGGUGUUAAGAAGGGCUCACCUAAUGCUCGGUGACAGCCUGCCUACACUUUUAGUUCAAAGAAACAAAGGCUUCUUAAACAGGUAUCUUCUAUAAACUAGUUAAGCAGGAGGAACAUUUUCUUCACUAGCCAGUGCCACUGAAAGUUACUUAGCAGGCUUAAGCCAUAAUUUUAUUUGUGAGUAAAUAAAAUUAGAACAUAAUUACAUUGUUUUGUGCUGCUCAUAUGUAAUUCCAUUAUGAAAUUUGGGCUCACUGAAGGAUAUGUGAUGAAAGACAUAAAAACCAACCACAUCCAAAUCUUGUACAAUAAAUAUGAAUCAUCUCUGCUCGUUAUUAUAAAAUUUGUGGAUUUCAACUCUUGAACAGAAGCUAUAAUCGGGGACUUUUCCUUCCCCGGUUCCUAUCAGGUCGCUCUUGUACAAGAGAGUGUGGAGCCCUUCCCACGAGACACGCUGUCUAAUCAGGCUCUACUAGUUUAGAUUUAUUCCCUAAUGUCCAUUCAGAGAAUCAAAGAGCCCUGACCAUUUACUGAUUGUGACAGGCCACCGCAGAGCUGUUCUCAGGGUCAUGCACAGCAAGGGCACACCAGCGUCCUGUACUGAGAGGUGGCCCUAGGGAAUGCCUCUCCUACUCACUGACUUGGGUGGGUGAGGUGAGGUUUGGGGUGGGUGAAGUCACCACAGGCUGUGGACUGAGACUGCGACAGCUCUCGGUAGAUGUACAGCUUAGAAAAAGGCUCAGUGUUUUGUGUGUAAAGUGAGGAUGAUAAAGAACCUACUCCCUGAGAAUGAAGGCAACCUGGUGAGUUACUGCAUGCUAAGCAGAUAAAACAGUGUCUGGCACAUAUUUAAAGGUUCAGUAAGUGAUAGCUAGUGUAUGGUAAUUGUUGAUGUGUUUUUAUACAUACUGUAUGCUCUUUUGAAAAAUGCAGGGAAAGAUCUUCGGAAGUCUAAGCCUUAAAGAAAUAAGCAGUAGAUUUCUCCAUUAGUUUUGUAUUAUUAAGUGAGCUCCAAAAUUCUCAAAAUUAAUUGUAUUUUGUUCUCUCUCUUGGCUGCCGGGAGGCACAGAGCCUGUAGCUGCACUGACAGAACUGCAGGGAGCGUUUCUGCAGAGCAGGCUCACUCUGUGUUCUCACAAUCCCGCCUGAAAGUUUUUCUUUGCCCCAAUCUUCUUGACUAUGUAUUGUUUUUAAAUAAGUUUCUUGUUGCUGGUUUUUGAAACAGUCUCCUAAUUCACUCUGCUGUUCAGACUGGCCUUGAACUCACUACAGAGCCCAGGAUGGCCUUGCAUUCAAGGCAACCCUCCUGCCUCAGCCUCUCGAGUGCUGGGACUACUGGUGUGCACCACCAUGCCUGGCUGUUUUAUUUUUUAAUUCUUAUUCGUACAUGUUAGCAGGACAUAAUGAUUAUAUUCAUUGUGAGGACUUGGCACUUGUAUGUAAAGAGAAUUGACUGUUUUUAACUUUUAUAUUAAAUUUGUCUGUAAGCUGCUUCAAAUCUGUGGAAAGAUAAUCCGAACAGAGUAAUUAAAAGCAGGAAGCAAUUUCUUAAAAUCAACAAAUGCUGUUGCUAGCAGCAGAGUGUCUACUGGCUGUCCUCCCAUCGGCUCUAGUGGAAAGAGCGGUGCGGCUCUGCACCUCGUGAGGCUGCUGCCCGCCCAGGGACCCCGCACGCCUGCCCUGGCUCCCGUGCUGCUCCGCUCCCUGUCUCCCGUUCUCCCGGCUGUACAGUAGAGUGAGGGCUGAGUGUCCUUUACCAUCUAUUCCGUUGUAUUUGCAACAGCAGGAAGAGAAUGGGAUUCUCUACUUCUUAACACUUUAAGAAAAAUACCUAAAAAAUUCUUUCCCCACCUCAGUCCUCCCUCUGGUCCGCCCACCAAGUUCCACAACCACCUGCUCACUGCCUGCUGCGGGCCGGGAUUUCCCAGCAAGGAUCCUGGGCCCCAUGGUGAUCUUGUACAGAGAAGCAGCUGAGCUCACUGCUGUGGCGAAAGCUCCUGUGACGGUCAGGAAGGGGAGACUGGAAAACUUAGGAGAGCCGCUCGGUUGCAAGUCUGACUUCAAAGAAACACCUUUUUUUUUUUUUUUUUGGAGAUGAGGGCUUGCAGUGUUGCCCAGGCUGAGCUCAAACUCCUGGAUUCAAGUGAUUGUGGCUCAGCCAGCCAAGCUGCUGGGAGGAGAGUUGUGCACCAGUGCACCUGGACCCAAAGAAACACACACACAACACACACACACACACACACACACACACACGCAUAUGUAGAUACAUAGAACAGCUUAUUGUAUACGCUAUUAUAUUUUUGCAAAUCCCUUAUCUCAUUAAAUUGUCAUUCAGUUCCUUGAGUAGAUCUGUCAUCAUAUACUAUUAUCCCCUGCAACAUAAGGGAAAGUUUAGAGCCCAACUUGGUGCCCUGGACCCUUAGACAAGUCACUUACAACGUGCUUAGCACAGUUCCAGAAAAUACAAAACAAGAGUGAGCUACUUCUUGUCCAAGGGGCCUCAUAGACUUAUUAUAGCAAUAAUACAAAAUGCACUGAACUCUGAUGGAUUAAAAGUACUACAACUGAGUGAAAAGGCAAGAUCACCAUCAGAUAGAGGAGGCGGACAGAUGCCAUUGGGACGUGGGACUUCCACAGGCCUUGACAUGAGAAAGGCCAAGAGGAUGUUUGGCUGUGUGACACCCCUGCUGCAAAUGGCCUAGAAGAGUGAAACAGACGCCAUCUGCUGUGUCACCGGGGUCCCCACCUUCCACCGUUCGUUGCUUCUUUCUUUCCCUGACUUUCUUGCACCGCCCUUACUCUAAGCCCUGGGGGGGAGAGGAAGCCGGCUGAGAUGUUAGGAGGCAGCCCAGGGCUUCCCCCCGUAAUUUAACAGAGUGGAGAAGUCAGUGCUGAGCGCACUUCCUCCGGCCACGGACAAUCGCUGACCCACUACUUCCUACGCAUCGUGUCCCUUGUGCUGGGCUGGGGAGUUUUUCUCUAGGGAAGAAUAUUUCCGGAUUCCUGGACCCCUCACUGUAACAGUCAGAAGAGGAUAACACACCUCAGAGCUGUGGUGAAAGUUCAGGGAGACACCACGUCUGCAAGUGCCGCGCCCAGGCCGGGCAUGACUUAGGCUCACAGUACGGCUUUCCUUCCUGCUGCAUUCUUUCCCUGAGGGUUGCUCAUUUGUUUGUUUGUUUGUUUGUUUGUUUGUUCUGGAGCAGACCUCGGGUCAUUCACAGAACUCUCCAUUACUAUGAUUAAUACCCACCCCCAAGGAUAGCUUAAACAUAUUUCUACAAAAGAUGUGUGGUGGAUUCUCAUAUCACGCCAAGAAGACAGAAACACAGGCAGUCCUGUUCCCCAGCUCAUCCAGGGGGAGACUGGAAGCCUGGAGAAGUUAGAUCACUCCCGCUCUUACCCUCCCUGCUCCUCAAUGUGGUUUGGGUGCUAUUUUUUUUGCCCCUAAACAUUGGGUUAAGUUUUGUUUUGUGGUGCCAAGCACUAACCCUGCACCUGCCCCACCUCCUUUCGGGCCCGCCUUUCCUGCAUCUGUGCCCGGUGGGGUCCACGUGGUGGAAUUUUCAUCCUUCUCACGCACUUCCUCUCAGGAGCCCGUCCAACCUCACCCUUAGAUGAAUUUCUUUCUCUCCAUCUGACCAUAAAUUUUAAAAAUUAAAAGUAAUUUUAAAAUUUCUUAUGCAUGUGGUAUCCCAUUGAAUUAUUACAACCUGAUUCAUAAAACAAUUUCAUAAGUGGAAGUAGCACCAUUUGCCGGGAAAUAAUGGACUCGCUCCAUGGUCCCAAGUCACCAGACUCAUCUUUGUUGAUCUUUAAAUGUUGUCCUGCUGUAAUUUGUUGCAGAU
rnacentral:lncRNA from 1 species